AACGAACGCUGGCGGCAUGCCUAACACAUGCGAGUCGAACGAGACCUUCGGGUCUAGUGGCGCACGGGUGCGUAACGCGUGGGAACCUGCCCUUAGGUUCGGAAUAACUCCCCGAAAGGGGUGCUAAUACCGGAUAAUGUCUUCGGACCAAAGAUUUAUCGCCUUUGGAUGGGCCCGCGUUGGAUUAGCUAGUUGGUAGGGUAAAAGCCUACCAAGGCGACGAUCCAUAGCUGGUCUGAGAGGAUGAGCAGCCACACUGGGACUGAGACACGGCCCAGACUCCUACGGGAGGCAGCAGUGGGGAAUAUUGGACAAUGGGCGAAAGCCUGAUCCAGCAAUGCCGCGUGAGUGAUGAAGGCCUUAGGGUUGUAAAGCUCUUUUACCCGGGAUGAUAAUGACAGUACCGGGAGAAUAAGCUCCGGCUAACUCCGUG
rnacentral:rRNA from 1 species